rnacentral:rRNA from 1 species
AAGCCCAAGACACCAGGCUUUGCCACACCCACACGGGAAAUCAGCAGUGAUAAACAUUAAGCAAUAAGCGAACACACCAAAAUUAAAGCUUGACUUAGUUAUGAUUAACAGGGCCGGUAAACCUCGUGCCAGCCACCGCGGUUAUACGAAGGGCCCAAAGCAGCAGACCCCCGGCGUAAAUAGUGGCCAGAAUAAUUACCCGUACACUAAAAACUAAACAAUGGCCUAACCGUAAAACACAGGCUAAAUGAAACCAAACAUUUUUAACAACAGGUAGUUUGACCCACGAAAACUAAGAAACAAACUAGGAUUAGAUACCCUACUAUGCUUAGUCGUUAAUACGAUAUUAUAACACUAAAAUAUCCGCCAGAAAACUACGAGCGAAAAGCUUAAAACUCAAAGGACUUGGCGGUGCUUCACACCGACUUAGAGGAGCCUGUCCUAUAAUCGAUACCCCACGUUAAACCUCACCAAUCUUUGCCAAAUCAGCCUAUAUACCGCCGUCGUCAACCUACCUCAUGAGAGAAGAACAGUAGGUACAAAAGUUUCAAAACUAAAACGUCAGGUCAAGGUGUAGCUAAUAGAAUGGUAGAGAUGGGGUACAUUUUUUAAGAUAAAGCACAACGGCACGGUACUAUGAAACUUCUACCUGAAGGAGGAUUUAAUAGUAAAAUUAACAAGAAAAUUAAUUUU